rnacentral:antisense_RNA from 1 species
CUUCAGCGAACCCAGCAUCAGCGGUCGCUCCGGCGGCCGGUCCCUGCCGUAGGUCGCCAGCAGAGCCCGUGCCUC